rnacentral:rRNA from 1 species
AUACGUAGGUGACAAGCGUUAUCCGGAUUUACUGGGCGUAAAGGGCGUGUAGGCGGUCUUGCAAGUCAGAAGUGAAAUUCCUGAGCUCAACUCGGGCGCUGCUUCUGAAACUGCAGGACUUGAGUGCUGGAGGGGAUAGCGGAAUUCCUAGUGGAGCGGUAAAAUGCGCAGAUAUUAGGAAGAACACCGGUGGCGAAGGCGGCUAUCUGGACAGUAACUGACGCUGAGGCGCGAAAGCGUGGGGAGCAAACAGGAUUAGAUACCCUGGCAGUCCACGCCGUAAACGAUGAAUACUAGGUGUAGGGGGUGUCGACUCCCUCUGUGCCGCAGUUAACACAAUAAGUAUUCCGCCCGGGGAGUACGGCCGCAAGGUUGAAACUCAAAUGAAUUGACGGGG